AGCUGCGAUGAAUCCGUUUGUUGAUUUUCCUGGCUGGAAUGAGGCGAUGGUGGGGUGGGUGGGGGUGGGUGGGGGUGGGUGGGGGUGGGAGGGUUCAUGAAACUUGCUCCCUCGUCUCAACUUCUGCCGUUGGGAGAUGGAAUUGAACCAGCGAACCCGGGGCUCUGAGCACGACACCCCUGCGGAGGAGUGCUUCAACACGAGUCACACGGAUGGCAUCGGUGGCGAGUGAUGUAUCAUCUGAUCCUGGGUCACUCCUUCACCAACCGCCACUGACCAGCGUGGUGAGGUGAACGACCCAGCGGCACCUUGGUACCUGGACACUCAGUGUUGAUGACGUCACGUCUGCCUCCCGCACGCGUGGAUCGCUUUUCCGAUCCGCUGCUGGAUGAAGCCGCCCCGCGCACCCCGUUGGCCGUGGACGUCGUUUGGCACCCUGCACGGUACUAGUCAGCACGAGCUCGUGACGGCGGGGAGCGGAGACGUUGCAGCCGAGUACAAUACAACAAGCAGACUUUGCUGCACUGCUCUCUGCUGACAAUGUAUCCCCGCUGCAUGGUGUUCGCCCAUCCAAGCGCUGUCCAGGCUCAAAUCUCGCUUAGCUUCCCGCGUGUGACGAGAUCGGGCGCACUGCCGGUGAUUGGCUCGAGGCUGUUGAUCGCGAAGCGUUUGAAUUCACGUCACUCAGCCCAUCGUCCCUCUAACAGUGAUGGUCGUGUGGAGGUACUCGCCCCCGCCUUAGGAACGUGGAAAUUCCACCACUGGUUCUGCAGGGCUGUAAGCAGGAGACGAGCGCUGCAUCGCUGCUCGUUUGAACUCUAACACCUAAAAUAUGUUUUUCAUUUUACUAGGUCAGGCCCAUUGACCUUCAUUUUUA